rnacentral:rRNA from 1 species
GGAUCAAUAUGUCGGUCGUGCUUCGGUACGUACUGGUAUCAUUGGUUUCUCCUUUCUGACGAACCAUGAUGUCAUUAAUUUGGUGUUAUGGGGAGUUAGGACUGUUACUUUGAAAAAAUUAGAGUGUUUAAAGCAGGCUUUAGCUUCAAUACAUUAGCAUGGAAUAAUGAAAUAGGACGUUCGAACCUAUUUUGUUGGUUUCUAGGACUUGAGUA